GACGAACGCUGGCGGCGUGCUUAACACAUGCAAGUCGAGCGAGGCCCCUCCUUCGGGAGGGUGCCCUAGCGGCGAACGGGUGAGUAACACGUGGGCAACCAGCCCUCAGCUCUGGGAUAACUCCGGGAAACCGGGGCUAAUACCGGAUACGACAUCCACGGGCAUCCGCGGUGGUGGAAAGUAUUUCGGCUGAGGAUGGGCCGGCGGCCAAUCAGCUAGUUGGUGGGGUAGUGGCACACCAAGGCGACGACGGGUAGCCGGCCUGAGAGGGCGACCGGCCACACUGGGACUGAGACACGGCCCAGACUCCUACGGGAGGCAGCAGUGGGGAAUAUUGCGCAAUGGGCGAGAGCCUGACGCGACGACGCCGCGUGAGGGACGAAGGCCUUCGGGUUGUGAACCUCUUUCAGCAGAGACGAGGCGAAAGUGACGGUACCUGCAGAAGAAGCACCGGCUAACUACGUG
rnacentral:rRNA from 1 species